rnacentral:rRNA from 1 species
UACGUAGGGUGCGAGCGUUAAUCGGAAUUACUGGGCGUAAAGCGUGCGCAGGCGGUUUGUUGUGUCUGAUGUGAAAGCCCCGGGCUUAACCUGGGAAUGGCAUUGGAAACUGCCAAGCUGGAGUGUGGCAGAGGGGGGUGGAAUUCCGCGUGUAGCAGUGAAAUGCGUAGAGAUGCGGAGGAACACCGAUGGCGAAGGCAGCCCCCUGGGCCAACACUGACGCUCAGGCACGAAAGCGUGGGGAGCAAACAGG